AAAGUGAGUAGAAGCUGUCAGCCGUGGUUUCAUUCGGUGGGUCAUUGCUCGAUCG
ncrna:Pantoea sp. GM01 NMT1 RNA